AAUCAACGCUGGCGGCGUGCCUCAGACAUGCAAGUCGAACGCGAAAGUCCCCUUCGGGGGACAAGUAGAGUGGCGCACGGGUGAGUAACACGUAGGUAAUCUACCUUCGGAUGGGGAAUAACAACCGGAAACGGUUGCUAAUACCGCAUAAUGCAGCGGCACCUAAUGGUGACAGUUGUUAAAGCGGGGGAUUGAAAGACCUCGCGUCUGAAGAGGAGCCUGCGGCGGAUUAGCUUGUUGGAGGGUAACGGCCUACCAAGGCGACGAUCCGUAGCCGGCCUGAGAGGGCGGUCGGCCACACUGACACUGACAUACGGGUCAGACUCCUACGGGAGGCAGCAGUCGGGAAUUUUGGGCAAUGGGCGAAAGCCUGACCCAGCAACGCCGCGUGAAGGA
rnacentral:rRNA from 1 species